rnacentral:rRNA from 1 species
GAUGAACGCUAGCGGCAGGCUUAACACAUGCAAGUCGAGGGGUAACGAUAGUGCUUGCACUAGGCGACGACCGGCGCACGGGUGAGUAACGCGUAUGCAACCUACCUUUAACUGGAGGAUAGCCCAGGGAAACUUGGAUUAAUACUCCAUAAAAUAUACGAUUCGCAUGUUUUGUAUAUUAAAGUUCCGGCGGUUAAAGAUGGGCAUGCGUGCCAUUAGAUUGUUGGUGAGGUAACGGCUCACCAAGUCUUCGAUGGCUACGGGGUCUUAAAGGAUGGUCCCGCACACUGGUACUGAGACACGGACCAGACUCCUACGGGAGGCAGCAGUGAGGAAUAUUGGUCAAUGGGGGCAACCCUGAACCAGCCAUGCCGCGUGCAGGAAGACGGCCCUAUGGGUUGUAAACUGCUUUUGUACGGGAAUAAUGGUUUCUACGUGUAGAGAUUUGAAGGUACCGUACGAAUAAGCAUCGGCUAACUCCGUGCC